ACCGCUACAACACGGGUUAAAAUUUUAAUUUGUCUUACGAGAGAAGUGGUGCUACAGUAGAAAAUAUCAAAUUGGAUUCUCAAUCUAUCCCUCAAUUUCACCCAUUUAUCAGUUCCAAACACAAUUAAUCAUCACAAAUCAAAGAUUACUCAUCAAAACCUAACAAUUUGAAGAACUAUAAAAAUUAGGGAUUUCAACCUAAAC
rnacentral:lncRNA from 1 species